UGGGGAAUAUUGGACAAUGGGCGAAAGCCUGAUCCAGCCAUGCCGCGUGUGUGAAGAAGGUCUUCGGAUUGUAAAGCACUUUAAGUUGGGAGGAAGGGCAUUAACCUAAUACGUUAGUGUUUUGACGUUACCGACAGAAUAAGCACCGGCUAACUCUGUGCCAGCAGCCGCGGUAAUACAGAGGGUGCAAGCGUUAAUCGGAAUUACGGGGCGUAAAGCGCGCGUAGGUGGUUUGUUAAGUUGGAUGUGAAAUCCCCGGGCUCAACCUGGGAACUGCAUUCAAAACUGACUGACUAGAGUAUGGUAGAGGGUGGUGGAAUUUCCUGUGUAGCGGUGAAAUGCGUAGAUAUAGGAAGGAACACCAGUGGCGAAGGCGACCACCUGGACUAAUACUGACACUGAGGUGCGAAAGCGUGGGGAGCAAACA
rnacentral:rRNA from 1 species